UUAAAAACGAUGAACGAGCAAAGUACGUUAACCCCAGUUUUACAGGGAGAGGGUGUCAUCGACUGCAAGCACCCUUAAAGCAUGAUUAACCGAAGUUCUCUCGCGAGUUGCCAGCUGAAACCUAAUUAAAGGCAAGUAGGCCCGGCCGUAAUCUUCCUACGUUAACAGGAAGGAGGUAUCGGAACAUGGUUCCCGCACCUUUUUGCGAGCGGGUUUGCUGUCUUGGCAAGCCAACUAGGGUGGUAACGCGGUAAGCGAAAGCUUUUCGUCCCUUGAGGAUGAAAAGCUUUUUUUAUUUAGGAUGAAGGAAGCGUUUUCCCGUACCUGCUGAGUGGACUCAUUUAAUAUGAGUCAAACAGGGUGGUACCACGGAACCCAUAGCUUUCGUCCCUGCA
rnacentral:ncRNA from 1 species